UCAAAUUUUUGUAUAUAUUUUUCUUAAUUUGUGGUUAAUUAGUUUUAAGGCAUUUGAUGAAGUCAACGAACUCGAAGUUGCGUGGAACCAAGUUCGGAUUGAAGACAAGCACAAGAAUGUUAACAUGAUUCCUGAGUUGUUCACCUCAGGGAGCCACAUAUAGGGUGUUCACUAUCCUUUAUAUAUGUGUUUAAUUUGUUUUUCUGUUUUAUUGUGAGAUUAACCCUUUUGUUAGUUGGUUUGAUGCAUGAUUUAGGUACCGUAAGAAACAAAAGAAGGUCGACAUGAGAGUUGUUAAAGGAUGGGCAAUGCAUAUUUUAAUGGGUUUAAUCUAUCUUCACAAUCACAAUCCAUGUGAAGUGUGAUAAUAUAUUUAUAAAUGGUCACCAAGGAGAAGUUAAGAUUGGAGAUCUGGGGCUGGCAACUCUCUUGAAGCAUAAAAAUGCCAAGAGUGUAAUAUGUAUGCUCAACUAUAUUCAGUAAGUUACAUAACUAGCCUUUAAUUCAUGUUGAAUAAGUUGUAGCCUCUAGUAGCAAUUUUCUACGCCUUGAUUUUGGUAAUUGAAAAGCAAAGAACAUGUUAAAUAGUAAUGACAAUCUUCAUAAACAAUGAACAUUCAUUUACGUUGAUUUCAGUCUUAGUUUUGUAUUGUCCAAAAGUGAAAAAAUCACCAAAGCAUGUUGCAUAGAGAUGAUGGUUUUUUUCCUGAACUUUCAUAUAUAUUUAUAUAGAUACUUGAUUUUGAUUUUUAUAUUAGGACCCUAGGUAUCACCUCUUAUCUUAUAAAGUGCUUAUUAUUGUUUUGAUUCUUAAUUAGGAAUGACUUCUUCUUUGUUUGAUUUUUAAUUCCUCUUACAUGAUAUUAAUUUUUUGCCAUUUAAUCCAUCUAAGGUCAGUUCAAUCAUUCCCAUCUCAAUGCUUUUAUUUCUAAUAAUUCCUCUUACACUCUAAAUGCAACAUUUCUUGAAACAAAUAGUAGCUAUUUUUGGCGUUGACUUUUUCCCUUUUUCUUGACUCUCUUUUUGCCCUUUUUGCUAAAUCUAUAACUGAACUAGCAAAUAUUUAUUUAUAUUUUAACUUGUUAGAAGACUCUAGGUCUUCAUUUUGUGAUUUUAAGACCUAUGCUUUCAAAAUGUAGUAUUAAAUUAAUUACUGCAAUACCGUAGAAUCAUACACACAAAGAAUAGAUAAAUAAUAGUCUAUUCAUUAUUUUGAUGUGAAGUGCGGCGAACGAAAAUUAAAUGUUGUAUACGAAUCUGGUAUCAGCUGACAUAAAUUAGUGAAGGUUAUUUUGAAGGCAAGUUGAUGAAAUCAAUGAGCAAACAUCUAUUCAGUCAUAUCUUACUGGUAUGUGGCUAGAGUAGUUUGUAACUAAUAUUAGUAAUGUUGUUAUGAGUGCAAUAGACCUGUCCGUUUGUGCAUAUAUGUAAUAUUUAAGGUGUGUGUAUCAAUAGCUUAUAUGCGAAACCAUCUCAGAAUAAUUGACUUGACUUUGCAUAUGAAUUUUGAAGCUUUAUUUGGGUAUGGUGUCAUUCUAGGUCUUAUCAUGACGGGGAUCAUUAUAAUAGUGUUCGGUUAAAGGAUUAUCCUUGUGAUGGACCUGCAAGGUCUAUUGUAAUUAGGUUCUUAUUGGAAUUAUGUAUCCUAAUUCUCAAAUUAAUGUUAAAAGUUAAUUAAGAGAAGUAUAUAUUUACUGAUUAUUUCUAGUUUGUGAAAGGUGGAUGCCGAUCUUUCAGCGUCAUCCCAUCAAAUGCAAAAUAGAGCUAGCAAACCCUAUGAGCAAGCUAGUAGGCAAACUUUUCAGCUAAGGUCGUAAAGGUGGUUAUGGGCUGGAAGUGGAUGAGAAAACAAAGAAAAAGCGGAACACGUGCAAUAAGUGGAUGCUUUUUUUUUUUUUUUUUGAAAAUUGAUGAUAUCUCAAUUAAAGGAGAACUCUUGCAGCUUGCUGUUUUUUUUUUUUUCUUCUAGAAAUUAACAACUUUACAUGUAAGUAUAAAUUCUUUGUUGUAGAUUCUAGAUCAGGUACAUGGAGAUGUUAAGGCCGAAAUAGAGUUUCUAAUAGCAUAACAAGAAUCAUAAGAGUGCUCUUUAAAAAUUCUGAUUUCCAUCAAAGUCAGGCUAGUACUAAUGGUUGUGAUGUAAAUGAGAAUCAUGAAAAACACAAAAAAAACAUCGUAGAGGACAACACUAAUGAUGAAUCAAACAAUAGCUCCAGAAAAACCAAUGAUAAAAUCACAUUACAAUAAAAUGACAAGGCUGCAAGAGAAACUGAUACACUUAAAGAGGCAAAUGAUAAGCUUGAAAAACGAGUGGAGGAAAUAUAAAUUGAUUGAUACCGAAGGUUUUAGGUGUCUGUCCACAACAUGAUAUAAUCUUUCUUGAAUUGGCUGUUAGUAGAAGCAUUUGGUUUUUUCGUUCUCUAUAUUAAUGCCAAUUAUUGUAUUCUUCAUAUUUACCGAAUGCUGAUUUUAGAAUAUGAAUCAUUGCCAAUUUCGCUA